GGAUUACUCCUUUGCGCUUAUGCGCGUUGUUUGAUAAAGAUUCGAACCUCUAUCAAACCGGGUAACCCCACCAUUUGUAAGUAGUUAUGUCAGAUCAAGUCUGAACUAGAGCACUUAACUCUUUAGACGAAGCAGUUUUUGUUCUAAAAACUCCCAACGUUUUAGUAGGUUU
rnacentral:sRNA from 1 species